AGUCUUUAUCAUAGAUUUACAAGGGUUUACAUUCAGUGCAAAUGGAGGGAACUUCAGAAUAAGAGGGAGGACACUUCCCCUCCUGAUUCCAUGGCCUGGUUCUAUCUGGAUUAACAGUCUUAGUUUGUCAGAGUUUCUUUGAUGUCCUCAUCGAUGUCUCCCUGUCAUCCGAUUUCCCUGGCAUUGACUUCCUGUGCCACAAUGCACCUUUUGAGAAAUAAAACCUUUGUUAUAAUGGAAGCGGAAGAUUAGCACCAAAUAUAUCAUCAAGUAGUCAAGUACUCCAUCAUAUGAUAGAUAUAAUCUUCCCAUCAAAAUAUCAAAGACGGAGCAAUGAUCGGUGGCAUUGUUUCCCUCAACAGUGUCGGCUCUAUUUCAAUAAGACUACUUCAACCAAUGGCUGAAUCUGUGCUGGAAGCUUUCAAGCAACAAAAGACUAGGAUUCUGGACUCAUAGCUUCCUCAUCAUGUGCCUCCAAGAUCUGCCCCUCCCCUGGGGUUGCUCCUUUAGAUCUCAGUCUCACUUUUCCACAUUAUAAUCCUUUUGUGGGGCUGAGAUCAACUGUGAACUUUUCUUAGUUUUAUGGACCUGGAGCCUGGACCUAACCUUCCCUGAUCAGUCUCCCUACCCCUUCCCAGCAUCCACUGCUGACGCUGUCUUCUACCUCUACCGUAAUUAAUCCCAGCUCCAAAGUCAUCAAACCACCCCUUGCAAAGUAAUGUCUUAUUACUCCUAAUUAAGUAGUUGCUUCAUAAAUCUGGACUCUAUGGAAGAUCUUGUUCCACCUGAUCGCUUCAUGAUUCUGGACUUUAUGGAAGAUCUCGUUCCGCCUGAUCGCUUCCCGAUUGAUCAGGUCAGAGGAAGUGGUUAAUUUACAUGGCCUGAUCACUAAUUACUUUAAUUAUGUGGUUACCCAAUUUACAUAUCUCAACCAAUGAUUAAUUACCACUCUAAUCAGCUCAUUAUCAGCAGAAUAUGCCCCCUAAUGAUGUGCUUGAGAUAUUCGCUAUUUGUCAUGCUUAAUGGUUUUAAUAAUCAUAGGAGUUUCACUUGACACGCUUUUUUAUGCAAAACAGCUUAAAAAAACCACUAACAAAUUCAGGUCAUUUUCAAUUAUUCCGUAACAUUUUUUACCAUAAAUUCCUCAUAUCUUCUUAUUAAUUUACGUUGAAUUAGAAAAUUGAUAGGCUCUUCUUAUGAGAUUGUUAUGGAAUUAAGAAAAUUUGGUACAUUGCUGUCUUGAUAAAUUACAACUACAAGCUGUAAAAUUGAGAUGUACAACAUCGUAAUAUUUUGUAAGACAUUCACUGUUACUUCAUUAAGAUUAGUUUUCUUUAUCGAUCCACUCAUAUACGAAAUGUAUAUCUCAUAUAUAGAAUGUUUAUAUAAUGUUACAUACUCAGAUGAGUUGUAUAACUGAAAUAAAUGAAAUUGCAAUAGAU
rnacentral:sRNA from 1 species